ACGAAAAACUACUUGCCUGGAGUAACCCAGAAAACAUGUCAGAAAAACCCGUAGCCAUUUCCUUCCCCCAGUUCAUCAUGGAAGAUAGCUACGACCUCAACUCGGUUCUACAGGAUAUGGGCAUUAGGGAUGUCUUUGAUGGAACAAAGGCUGACCUUACUGGAAUCUCUAAGAGUCCCAGUCUGCAUUUGUCCAAAGUUGUCCACAAGACCUUUGUGGAAGUGGAUGAGAUGGGCACCCAGGCAGCUGCAGCCAGUGGGGCUGUGGUUGCAGAGAAGGCCCUUCCGUCCAGGGUGGAAUUUAAUGCCAACCGCCCAUUCCUCUUUUUCAUCCGACACAAUGGAACCCAGAGUCUACUUUUCUGUGGCAGAGUCUACUCCCCUUGAAUCUACUCUGGCUUUUGAUGUGUUGAGGGGAAUGGUAAUAUGUUUUCCCCUUGUAAAACAAGGGCAUGUGGGUUUUGGCUGAGUGCCUGAAACAGACCACCUGCUGCUGCAGUUGUGCACGGAAUCCCACAAGCCGCCCCUGAGUUUUGUUCCCACCCUCUGUCACCAGAAGCCAGAUCUCUCCACCUGUUAAUGAAGUAGCCUUGCUUUCUCCCUAAUCUUUACUGCUCUACACUUUCAAGCAUAUAAAUUCACCUUCUAUGAUUUGGAGGUCAACACAA
rnacentral:lncRNA from 1 species